rnacentral:tRNA from 1 species
GUUUAAAUAGUAUAAAAAAUACAUACCCUUUUCAAGGGGAUAAUGGCUGUGUUCUUUAAAUA